AGUCGAGCGAACUGAUUAGAAGCUUGCUUCUAUGACGUUAGCGGCGGACGGGUGAGUAACACGUGGGCAACCUGCCUGUAAGACUGGGAUAACUUCGGGAAACCGAAGCUAAUACCGGAUAGGAUCUUCUCCUUCAUGGGAGAUGAUUGAAAGAUGGUUUCGGCUAUCACUUACAGAUGGGCCCGCGGUGCAUUAGCUAGUUGGUGAGGUAACGGCUCACCAAGGCCACGAUGCAUAGCCGACCUGAGAGGGUGAUCGGCCACACUGGGACUGAGACACGGCCCAGACUCCUACGGGAGGCAGCAGUAGGGAAUCUUCCGCAAUGGACGAAAGUCUGACGGAGCAACGCCGCGUGAGUGAUGAAGGCUUUCGGGUCGUAAAACUCUGUUGUUAGGGAAGAACAAGUACAAGAGUAACUGCUUGUACCUUGACGGUACCUAACCAGAAAGCCACGGCUAACUACGUGCCAGCAGCCGCGGUAAUACGUAGGUGGCAAGCGUUAUCCGGAAUUAUUGGGCGUAAAGCGCGCGCAGGCGGUUUCUUAAGUCUGAUGUGAAAGCCCACGGCUCAACCGUGGAGGGUCAUUGGAAACUGGGGAACUUGAGUGCAGAAGAGAAAAGCGGAAUUCCACGUGUAGCGGUGAAAUGCGUAGAGAUGUGGAGGAACACCAGUGGCGAAGG
rnacentral:rRNA from 2 species